rnacentral:lncRNA from 1 species
GCGCGCCGCCGCCGCGCGCCAUCGGGCCUCCGGCCUUCCACAGCCGCCGCGCGUCGCCGUCGCAUCCCCGACCUCCCCAGCCGCCGAGUGCCGCCGACACACGUCCCCCAGCCGCGCGCCGUCGCCAAGGCGGCCAAGCCUCCCCCAGCCACGGCGCGCUGCCGCUCCUCCUCGCCUCCCCCAGCCACAGAACGAUGCCGCCGUCGCUCCACGCUUCCCCCUGACUCCCAGACGUUGCCGGCGCCC